rnacentral:rRNA from 1 species
GACGGAGGAGGCUAGCGUUGUUCGGAAUUACUGGGCGUAAAGCGUGCGCAGGUUGUGAGUUCAGUUGGAUGUGAAAGCCCGGGGCUUAACCUCGGAUGUGCAUCCAAUACUGGCUCGCUGGAGGUUGGAAGAGGAGAGUGGAAUUCCCAGUGUAGAGGUGAAAUUCGUAGAUAUUGGGAAGAACACCAGUGGCGAAGGCGGCUCUCUGGUCCAUACCUGACACUCAUGCACGAAAGCGUGGGGAGCAAACAGGAUUAGAUACCCUGGUAGUCCACGCCGUAAACGAUGUGUGCUAGACGUCGGGAGGCUUGCCUCUCGGUGUCGAAGCUAACGCGAUAAGCACACCGCCUGGGGAGUACGGCCGCAAGGUUAAA